AUACGGAGGAUCCGAGCGUUAUCCGGAUUUAUUGGGUUUAAAGGGAGCGUAGAUGGAUGUUUAAGUCAGUUGUGAAAGUUUGCGGCUCAACCGUAAAAUUGCAGUUGAUACUGGUCGUCUUGAGUGCAGUAGAGGUAGGCGGAAUUCGUGGUGUAGCGGUGAAAUGCUUAGAUAUCACGAAGAACUCCGAUUGCGAAGGCAGCUUACUGGACUGUAACUGACGCUGAUGCUCGAAAGUGUGGGUAUCAAACAGGAUUAGAUACCCUGGUAGUCCACACAGUAAACGAUGAAUACUCGCUGUUUGCGAUAUACGGCAAGCGGCCAAGCGAAAGCAUUAAGUAUUCCACCUGGGGAGUACGCCGGCAACGGUGAAACUCAAAGGAAUUGACGGGG
rnacentral:rRNA from 1 species